CCCUGGUAGUCCACGCCGUAAACGAUGAGUGCUAAGUGUUAGGGGGUUUCCGCCCCUUAGUGCUGCAGCUAACGCAUUAAGCACUCCGCCUGGGGAGUACGACCGCAAGGUUGAAACUCAAAGGAAUUGACGGGGGCCCGCACAAGCGGUGGAGCAUGUGGUUUAAUUCGAAGCAACGCGAAGAACCUUACCAGGUCUUGACAUCCUUUGACCACUCUGGAGACAGAGCUUUCCCUUCGGGGACAAAGUGACAGGUGGUGCAUGGUUGUCGUCAGCUCGUGUCGUGAGAUGUUGGGUUAAGUCCCGCAACGAGCGCAACCCUUAAUUUUAGUUGCCAGCAUUUAGUUGGGCACUCUAAAGUGACUGCCGGUGCAAGCCGGAGGAAGGUGGGGAUGACGUCAAAUCAUCAUGCCCCUUAUGACCUGGGCUACACACGUGCUACAAUGGAUGGUACAAAGGGUCGCGAAGCCGCGAGGUGGAGCCAAUCCCAUAAAACCAUUCUCAGUUCGGAUUGUAGGCUGCAACUCGCCUACAUGAAGCCGGAAUCGCUAGUAAUCGUGGAUCAGCAUGCCACGGUGAAUACGUUCCCGGGCCUUGUACACACCGCCCGUCACACCACGAGAGUUUGUAACACCCGAAGUCGGUAGGGUAACCUUUAUGGAGCCAGCCGCCGAAGGUGGGACAGAUAAUUGGGGUGAAGUCGUAACAAGGUAGCCGUAUCGGAAGGUGCGGCUGGAUC
rnacentral:rRNA from 1 species